GCCUCCGUGGUCUAAUGGUUAUGACGCUCGCCUUGGCAGCGAGAGGUCGCAGGUUCAAAUCCCGCCAGAGGCA
rnacentral:tRNA from 1 species